AAGACUCCAAUGGCGGCUAGGGUUGAGGGAAUCGACGGAAAAAGCUGAGAUCAAGCGGAAAAAACAGAGGGAAGACAUCGGUAGGAGGAACGAAGGAGAAGACUAAGAGCUUUGUGAAGCUGGAAAAAGCAAAAACUUUCAAAAGGGGAGGCUUCGGCCAAAAGAACAGAGCAGAAAAAAAACAGAGGAAAAGGCCGCGGGUGCAAACGGAAACAGAGGAAGAAAGUUUCGACAAAGUGAAGGAUGAAUUCGGAAAGCUGGAACCGUCGUCGCAGGAAGCCGCCACCACCUCACCGUCAAUCCUCCACCACCAUCAACAGAUCUUCACCGAGGAAAUGCGGUAAGCCAGCCUUCUACGUUCAAUUUUUUUCCUUUAAGACC
rnacentral:lncRNA from 1 species